rnacentral:tRNA from 2 species
GCGGGCAUGGCGGAAUUGGUAGACGCAAGGGACUUAAAAUCCCUCGGCGCGCAAGCGCUGUGCCGGUUCGAUUCCGGCUGCCCGCACCA